rnacentral:lncRNA from 1 species
GAGACUUCCUAAAGCCAUAACUAAAAUAUAACUUUCAACUCCAACAUUCAAAAAUUUUUUGCUGUUUUCAAUCUUUUUACUAACCUAAAGUUAUUACAAUAAUUUGCAUAGACUUUCGAUAUCUAAUAUCCAGAUAGUAGUAUCACAAAUAGAGAAAUCACAAAGUGUUAUCAUAUAAGUACCUUAUCUAGCAAUCCUUUGCUAAUUUCUCUUUCUUAGUCUGUUCGGAUUAAAAGACUCUGUCAGACUAGAUUAACCUUAGACUCCUUUAUCAGUUCGGGCUCCUCAACCUAAGCAUGACUCUUUUGCACUCUUUUGCACCUUCUUUUUCUUUUUUUUUCUUAAAAGAUUGUCACCCCACUGAAGACAUACCUUCAGAGGUGUGAAAGAACUCCUUCAACUUUUAAAGAAUUUU